UAAAAAGUUUUGUAAAUAGACUUCAUUUAGUACUUCAAAUUACCAAGAUUCCAUUGAAAAAAAGUUGCAAAAAAAAAUUUGUGUUCUAUCUAAACACGGCCUAAACAUGCCUUUUCUCUCUAGAGGCUUUGUGCAUCAUUGGAGCAUGGUUCUUCUUGGAACCAAUUCAUUCAUUCAUUCAGGGCCUUGCUUUGCUACCGCGCUGGCCACGGAGGUACUGCAUGGAUCUUCUCCAAGGUUCUUUCUGCUCGACUAAUCCAUGCAUAGCUUCGCCACUAUUGAGCGAGGAUACCGCCUGCAGCUUCCAUUCUUCGGCCGGCGAUCAAGAGUAGGCUGAGCAGGACGGGAGCCAUCAUGUGAGCUGAUGAUGGUGAUCGCCGUCGUCCUCGCCAUCACCUCCUCUGCGUCCGUCUGCCCGGCGCUGCUGGCCCUCCAUGAUUGCACGGGGCGGAGGACGGAAGAGAAAAGCCGGGGUUGGAGGCAUGGUAGGCUUUCCUUUCUUCCCCCCAUCCCCAUGCCGCCCGUCGCCGUCAGGCCCUUUGACAAUCAUUCUCAGACGCCUCUGGUGACACCGACAACAUGGCCUUCAAUUUGCAGGUGUACACAGGCGCACGAAACCGUAGCCCAGCCCGUAGGAACUACUACUAGGCAGAGCCGAGAGCCGAGCGUCUUGGCUGCAUUGCGAGCCUCUCAAUCAUUCAUCGCUCAAUGCAAGCCAAGCUCGCAGGAAAAAGGACGGGCUCCGCCUCCAUUAGGGAGCUGGAGGAGAAGCGAAAAAGCCUGCGGCGUACAGGCUCCAUUAGGGAGGGAGAGAGGACUGAAGCUGGAGGGGAGGGAGGAGCGAGAAAGCCUGCGGUGGACAGGCUGUCUUACAUGGGUAAGACACAUGGGGCGUGGCCCGUACCAUUUGAUGAUCCCCCUCCCUCGCUCUCUGAAUCUCUCUGCCCGGGCACAUGUUUACCUGACGGAUCAUUACCAUUUGAACUUUAUUAGGCGGCGGCGUAGGGGCGCGGAGGAGGUAAUUAUUGGGGGUAAUGCGCCGCGGCCGGUCAGUAAAGCGGUCGUGCUGACUGCUGCUGAGAGGGAGCAUGGCGACUCGUCCUUGCUGUUUUCUUUCUUUCUUUUUUGCUGCAGUGUCAGUCAGCCGGCCGGCCGGUACCGCACUGCACUACUGCUUGCUGGAGGCUGGAGCGACUAGAGAGAGAGAGCGCUGCUGCUGCUUGUGAAGUGUAUAGUAGGAGUUGUCAAAGUGGUAGCGGUACGACGGUUGGUGCAGGAAUAGGUGUAUUGCGCCUUUUUCCCCGGUGGCUUUUUGCAACUUGGCGUACUAUAUUUUGUACACAUGUUGCGUAGUAGUUGGGAAUAUGAUGCUUUGGGAGUCCUUGAGACAGGCAGAUAAAGCUCUGCCCGCUUGGUA